GGAAUCUUCGGCAAUGGACGAAAGUCUGACCGAGCAACGCCGCGUGAGUGAAGAAGGUUUUCGGAUCGUAAAACCCUGUUGGUAGAGAAGAACGUUGGUGAGAGUGGAAAGCUCAUCAAGUGACGGUAACUACCCAGAAAGGGACGGCUAACUACGUGCCAG
rnacentral:rRNA from 1 species